GCACUGGUAGCUCAGUCUUCAGAGCGUCGGUCUUGUAAACCGAAAGUCGAGGGUUAAAUCCCCUCCUAUUGCU
rnacentral:tRNA from 1 species